rnacentral:rRNA from 1 species
AGAGAUGCAUUGGGUUUAAAGGGUGCGCAGGCGGUUUUGUAAGACAGAGGUGAAAUCCCCGGGCUCAACCUGGGAACUGCCUUUGUGACUGCAAGGCUGGAGUGCGGCAGAGGGGGAUGGAAUUCCGCGUGUAGCAGUGAAAUGCGUAGAUAUGCGGAGGAACACCGAUGGCGAAGGCAAUCCCCCUGGGCCUGCACUGACGCUCAUGCACGAAAGCGUGGGGAGCAAACA